rnacentral:rRNA from 1 species
AUUGAACGCUGGCGGCAUGCCUUACACAUGCAAGUCGAACGGCAGCACGGGUGCUUGCACCUGGUGGCGAGUGGCGAACGGGUGAGUAAUAUAUCGGAACGUACCUUAUUGUGGGGGAUAACGCAGCGAAAGCUGUGCUAAUACCGCAUAAUCCCUAAGGGGGAAAGCGGGGGACCGUAAGGCCUCGCGCAAUUAGAGCGGCCGAUACCUGAUUAGCUAGUUGGUGAGGUAAAGGCUCACCAAGGCAACGAUCAGUAGCUGGUAUGAGAGGACGAGAAGCCACCCUGGGACUGAGAGACGGCCCAGACUCCUACGGGAGGCAGCAGUGUGGAAUUUUGGACAAUGGGGGCAACCCUGAUCCAGCCAUGCCGCGUGAGUGAAGAAGGCCUUCUGGUUGUAAAGCUCUUUUGUCAGGGAAGAAACAGCAGCUCUAACACAGUUUGCGAAUGACGGUACCUGAAGAAUAAGCACCGGCUAACUACGUGCCAGCCGCCGCCGUAA